AGUGGUUAAGCACUCAGCUGCUAACUGAGAUGUUGGUGGUUCGAACCCACCAGCCACUC
rfam:Loxodonta africana unplaced genomic scaffold scaffold_21, whole genome shotgun sequence.